UACAGAGGUCGCAAGCGUUAUUCGGAAUUAUUGGGCGUAAAGGGUGCGUAGGCGGUUCCGUAAGUCUAUCAUGAAAUACUAGGGCUUAACCUUAGUGCCGUGGUAGAUACUGCGGAACUAGAGAACGGAAGAGGUAAGCGGAAUUCUUAGUGUAGAGGUUAAAUUCGUAGAUACUAAGAGGAACACCAGAGGCGAAGGCGGCUUACUGGGACGAUUUUGACGCUGAGGCACGAAAGCGUGGGGAGCAAACAGG
rnacentral:rRNA from 1 species